rnacentral:rRNA from 1 species
AUCACUUGUCUUUUAAAUGAAGACCCGUAUGAAUGGCAAAACGAGGGCUUAACUGUCUCCUCCCCCCAGUCAAUGAAAUUGAUCUCCCCGUGCAGAAGCGGGGAUAACAACAUAAGACGAGAAGACCCUAUGGAGCUUUAGACGCACUAGCAGACCAUAAAAAACAUUUUUUUCAAAAAAAUGGAACCAACUGACCCCUGCUUCAAUGUCUUUGGUUGGGGCGACCCCGGAGUAAUAAAAAACCCCCGAGCGGACUGAAGACACCCUAGCUUCAUAAUAUAGAGCCGCAGCUCACAAAACCAGAACUUCUGACCCUAAGAUCCGACACAGUCGAUCAACGGACCAAGUUACCCUAGGGAUAACAGCGCAAUCCCCUUUCAGAGCCCC